rfam:Populus trichocarpa isolate Nisqually-1 chromosome 12, whole genome shotgun sequence.
ACGACCUUACUUGAACAGGAUCUGUUCUAUAGGAUCGUACCUCUGUAUCCUUUAACACUAAGGAGACAGGAACCUAAGUCUGGUUGAGGAAUCAUGACCGUGUGAUCAUAGCGUGAGUAAUGGUUUGAUGAUUCUCGUGAUCAUCAUGGCUGUAGAGGAUCGUUCCCCGGUCAUGUUCUGGCUUGGGAUGGUCAUGCGGUUGUCUGACAGACU